rnacentral:lncRNA from 1 species
CAGAAAUCUGCAGAGCCAACCCAGCGACAGAUCUGUGAGGAGAACUGAGAUGUACUCUGGAGUCUUCCUGGAUCUUUACUCAGCCAUCCACAAGUCUUCUCACUGUGCAUUUGAAAUGUAACUGUCUCACCUCUGUGCUGCACAAACAGGAACACAAAAGAGCUCUGAAGUUGCUGUUGACUGGUGGACUCCGGACCUGGGAUGGCUGAGCAGAAUGAGGAUAUAGGACCUUUUCCUAUUAUGAAGAGAUUUCCCCAAUCAGUCUUCAGUCCCAACAUCCUCAUUUGCCCUUCUCCUAAGGCUAAUUUUGAUAUUAUUUUAGCCAGUUCACCCUCUUGUAUGCUGUUAAUUAAGGAAUUUCACUCCUGAACUGAGAAGCUUAAAGGAGAGUGAGCUUUGAUAACCCUUCAGCAUACUGUUUCCGGUGGCUAGCAUGAGUAUAAAUGGACAGCUGCGGAUUCCUGGCUGGAUGCUGUGUGAUUGAGACUUACUGGGAAGUGCUACUUUGAGAAGGCUUUUUGGCUGGGCUGUGGAAAUGUAUGUUAUACAAAACUAAGAUGAAUUGUACAAGAAAAAUUAAAAC